AUUCUUAUAUGUUACAAUCGUUCGAGGAUCAUUUUAGAAUAAACUUUUCAAAAGAUACUAGAGCAGUACACAGACGAUCUUUUAUUGGAAACUGACGUUUGAUCAUGGUGAAAGUUUACGGUGAACUGUUUUUAGACGAAGACCAACAGCUCAAUUUAGAGUUAAUCCCACCGGAACUUUUAUGUUUAGUUUGUCUGAUACAUAUUCGUGAUGUGGUUUUCCUUGGAUGUGGGCAUUAUCCUGUUUGUAGAAACUGCAUGCAUUUUUAUGAAAAAUGUCCAGUGUGUGGCCAAAAAAUAAAAGCUUGGUCACCUGUGAAGCAUAUGUAGAAGGGAUGUGCGGUUUUAUCUGAUUUCUGUUCUGUAAUAUGCAUACACCUAUGUUGACAAGUUAUAGAUGUCCGAGUUAUAUAAUAUAUCUUUUUGUACAUUCCACUCAUUUGCUCCGAGCUGAGAAUCAGAAGAGAAUGGAAAAGGACAGAAAAGACAUCUUAAAGAAGAUUCUUUGGAAGCAUAA
rnacentral:lncRNA from 1 species